AUGGUUAUUCUCAGGCUCUCCUUCUACUACAAACUUGGAGCAGAGGCCUUUGAGCUAAUUAAUUACAUUCUGUAUAUCUGAACCAGCUAGCAGAGCUCCUCGCUGACACUUGGAUACAUCUGGGCCUGAUAACAAUUGCAAAUACUCAGGGCACACUUUAGGAAAAAAAAAAAAAAAAAAAGGCUUAUGUUACAAUGUGCAACAGCACGUUUUACAGUCCUCUGAUCGGUCAGAUAAAUAAAACAGCUCGAGUCCAGGGCUUCGUGGGGGGAAACGUACUUGGUAACAUUUCACCUGGAGCAGAAAAAUUUCCCCACUGACAAGGGAGCAGUCUGACCCGAAGAAAAGGUUCAGUUCCUCCGAGGGACAGUUUUGGAGAUUUGGGUCCGACGUGGGAGCGUAGAAGAGAAUUUACAAGAAGCUCCUUCUGCGCAUCCAUCCGAGGAGCAGGUGUAGACAUGAAGAGACUGUGCGUUCCUCGGCCGCGUUCAGGGAAGCAAAUAAACACGGAUUUUCUUGAGGGAAAUGAAUGGACCCAGAGAUCAUGCCUUACUGAAUCCCCGACUCACUCGCUUCGAAGGCCAUCUGUCCUUGAGACAAAAAGACCACUUUUUGAAAAAGAUGCCGUUGUUGGUGUGCGAAUCCUGGAAGGAGCCAAGAUUUGGGAAAAUUGUCUCUGCCACCUUCUGAGCUACUCUUCAUAUCAAGUAACACCCAACUCAUGGGAUUGGGACACGUUUUGUGCUCGAAUGAACGACAUCAUAAUAACGGACGACGGCGACUCUUAGCCCUCCGUCCACCUCUUCACGUAGCGUCCGUAUUUUCUAAGCCUUAUUUUGAAGGAGGUUUAAUUUCUACAGAACAGUACCAAGCAGAGAGAACUGUGGAUCUUCACUCACAAGAAAGUCAAAUAACAACCAAACUGCUUUAUUGAGACCUAUCCUGUUUGAGGCACUGUUAUGUUUAGUAUUAAGAAGGUCUAAGUUUUCUCAUCUUUAAAUGGGAAAUAUGAAACUCAAAGAAGUUAACAGCCACAUGCCCAAAGUCAAUCAGUCAGUAGGUCAAAAAUACUGAUUGAGAGCUGAGAAUUUGCCCCAAAUGUUUUCACUAAAAGUGCGUGAUCGAGUGACACGAAGACAAAUAAUUUGACUAUGCUACAUGAUUGGCUAUUUUAAUUGCUAAGCAGAUACAUUGUGCCUUAUGAACACAGCCAUUCAUUGCAAGGUGAGUUGAUUAAUGUAAAUGCUUCAGAAACCCAAACAUUUCCAGUUUCCUUCCUUCUUUCAUCCUAAACCUCCUUUUGCCCCUUUAUUUAUUAGCCAAAGCUCUAGAGAGUAAGGUCAUUUAUUCAAAUAUUUUGAAUAUUUUGUAUUCAGCCUCUUAUAUUAAAUAAUUAUUCUUACUUCUGAAAUUAUUUUGUUUUUGUCGAAAGCAAUUUAGCAUUAUUAAUCAAGAGACUUAAAACUCCCCAUUCCCCUUGGCCAAGUAAUUACACUUCUAGGUGUCUCUCUUAAGGAAUGAUCUAAAAUACAGAUAGAAUGGGGGCACCUGGAUGGCUCAGUCAUUUCAGCAUCCAACUUUGGCCAAGGUCAUGAUCUCUCAGUUCUCGUGUUGAGCUCUGGGCUGACAGGUCAGAGCCUGGAGCCUGCUUUGGAUUCUGUGUUUUCCUCUCUCA